rnacentral:rRNA from 1 species
CCCUUAGAUGUUCUGGGCCGCACGCGCGCUACACUGAUGCAUUCAACGAGUCUAAAACCUGCUCUGAUAGGGGUGGGUAAUCUUUUGAAUGUGCAUCGUGAUUGGGAUAGAUGAUUGCAAUUUUUCAUCUUCAACGAGGAAUGCCUAGUAAACGCAAGUCAUCAGCUUGCAUUGAUUACGUCCCUGCCCUUUGUACACACCGCCCGUCGCUCCUACCGAUUGAAUGAUCCGAUGAAUAUCAUGGAUUGAGGAUGCAAGUAGGUUAGCCUAUCUUCAUCUUCGAGAAGUGAAGUAAAUCUUAUCAUUUAGAGGAAGGAGAAGUCGUAAC